CAUCACCCCCACCAAACCAAGAAUGAAAUGUUUGGAUAAUAGCCAUGGUCUCAGUUGGCCAUGCUUGAGAAUCCAGCUGAAAAGUAUAAUGGUAACUGCUUC